UAUUGAUAGUUCAAGCAAACAAAAUCAGCAAAAUAGGUUUGAACACCAUGGUUAAGCUUGACCUAAUGGACGUACAUUGAAUUCUGCAUCCAGCAAUGAGAGGGUGCACAUUAUUCUCAAGCACACAUGGAGUAUGUACGAAAAUUGAUCAUGUACAAGAUCACAGAAUAAGUCAAUAAAUUUCAAAAAAUAAGGCCACAUUCUCAAAGCAUAACAAUUAAGUUACAUGGCAACGACGUAAAAAUCUAUUUGCUGGACUUCCCUGGUGGUCCAGUGGUUAAGACAGUGCUGCCAAUGCAGGGGGCGUGGGUUCGACCCCUGAUCAGGGAACUAAGGUCCCACAAGCCGCGUGGCAUGGCCAAAAAAAGGGAAAAAAAUAAUUAUUUGCUAAUGGCUUGGGAGGCAGUGUAGAGUAGUGAUUAAAAGCAAGUAUUCUGGAACAUGGUUUCAAAUUCUGCUCUUAGUCACUAGGCAUAUGAUCUCAGGCAAAUUUCCUUCCUUCCUUCCUUCCUUCCUUCCUUCCUCCCUCCCUCCCUUCCUCCCUCCCUUCCUUCCCUGCUUGGCAUGUAGGAUCUUAGUUCCCCAACCAGGGAUCGAGUCUGUGCCGCCUGCAGUGUAAGUACAGAUCCCUAAUCACUGGACUGCAAGGGAAGUCCCUGAGGAAAAUUUCUUACCCCACAUGUGAUUAUCUUCUUGUGUUCAUCAUUAAUGUUGAGCAGAGAUCUUUAUUCCACCUUUCCAACACAGUAGGAUUGUACUUCCAGGCUCCCUCAUGGUUGAAAAGGUUCAUAUGACUGGUUCUGGCCAACUAGUGAGUGAGUUGUGGUUGGAACUACCAUGUCAUGGCUAGAGCACUUAAUCACCUGAGACUUUCCGGAGCCAUCUUUUCCCUCUUGACAGCCAGCAGCAUUCAAGAUGGUGGCUACUCUGUUAGCCUGGAUCCCUAAAUGACUAAAAUUAACAGAGGCCCCUCUCCCUCAACCACCCACAAAAUAAUGAAGGUAGUAUAGUGUGAGGAAGAAAACAAACUGUUCAUUUAGGCACAGACUUUGGGAGUUUGUUACCACCGCCUAACCCAUCUGAUAUACCCAUCCCAACUGAUACAGACGUUGGUACCAGCAAUGGAUGCCGCUGAAGAAUAGAAACCUAAAUAAUGAGGCCCUGGAUUAGGGACUAGUAGCAGGUGGCAAAAACACUGCUAUCAGAGGAUGGAAGGAUGGCGAUUCAUGUUAUGGAGAAGUGAAACUUCAGUCACCGGACAAUUUGGAAGGCCUGACCACAGGCAAUUAGGAAGGCUUCAGACGGCACAGCCGGUGGGACUAGGGGAAGCUGCCCUCCUCACACCAGACCUGGGGCACAGCCGGCGCACCUCGGUUUCUGAAGGGACUUGCGGUCAAGGACUCAGGGCCCUCGGCAGUCUCUCUCUCCUUGAGCACACAGAGAAAAGGCCAUGUGUGGACCCAGGGAGAAGGCAGCCAUUGACAAGCCAAGGAGAGAGGCUUCACCAGAAACCAACCCUGCUGGUACCUUGACCCUGGACUUC